rnacentral:rRNA from 1 species
UACAGAGGUCCCGAGCGUUGUUCGGAUUCAUUGGGCGUAAAGGGUGCGUAGGCGGCGGGGCAAGUCUGAUGUGAAAUCCCGGGGCUCAACCCCGGAACUGCAUUGGAUACUGCCUUGCUCGAGUACUGGAGAGGGAACUGGAAUUUACGGUGUAGCAGUGAAAUGCGUAGAGAUCGUAAGGAAGACCAGUGGCGAAGGCGGGUCUCUGGACAGUUCCUGACGCUGAGGCACGAAGGUCAGGGGAGCAAACGGG